ensembl:lncRNA
AUCAGCCCCAAUGUACACAAUUACACUUCAUUUAAACUACAGACUAACAGAAACGUGUUGCGGGGUGACGUUUACAUUUGUACCCUACUAGGGCUGCAGUGUGCAGUUUUAAGAUGACAAAAUUCUGGGUUUGAGCAAGGUAGGAAAGGGAAAGACUUUAUUGUAGUGGGUUGUAGUGGGCACCUUCGCGUUCGUGUGUCUGCUCACACCCCCAAGCUCAGCUCCACAACGAGGCUGAGGGAGACACGGCGUUCAAUUACACCGGCUGCCAGUGAAUAGAAGGAACGAGGCGCGGGGAAAUGCACGCCUGUGCCGUCAGUGAAAUGCGCCUGAGAUUUAGCCCCUGAAUGCACACGACGCCACCGAAAUGCCGGGCUGGAAGAAAAAUAUCCCCGCUUGCCUGCAAGCCGACCAAGAAGGAGAUGAGGGGCCCUACACUAAACACUCCAAUCCCUCCAGGCCACCAGAUGGCGCUCUGGCAAUUAGGAGACAGAGUAUUCCAGAUGAGUUUAAGGGCACCAGCACCGUGGAGCUGAUCAAGAAGGAAGGCACAACCUUGGGCCUGACAGUAUCUGGAGGCAUUGACAAAGACGGCAAGCCCCGCGUCUCCAACCUGCGCCAGGGCGGCAUCGCUGCCAGGAGUGACCAGUUGAACGUAGGGGACUAUAUAAAGUCUGUGAAUGGAAUCAACUUGACAAAGUUUCGUCAUGAUGAGAUUAUUAGUCUGCUGAAGAAUGUGGGGGAGAGGGUCGUCCUGGAGGUCGAGUACGAGCUACCGCCUGUCUCUGUACAGGGCUCAGGGGUCAUGUUCAAAAACGUGGAGGUGACGCUGCACAAAGAAGGCAAUACAUUCGGUUUCGUCAUCAGAGGAGGCGCCCAUGAAGACAGAAACAAAUCUCGCCCGGUUACCAUAACAACCAUCAGACCUGGUGGUCCGGCUGACAGGGAAGGCACCAUCAAACCUGGCGACAGGCUGCUCAGUAUUGACGGAAUUCGUCUGCAUGGAGCGUCUCACGCAGAGGCCAUGAGCAUCCUCAAACAAUGCGGCCAGGAAGCAACUCUUCUCAUAGAGUAUGAUGUGUCAGUCAUGGAUUCUGUAGCCACAGCUUCAGGCCCGCUGUUGGUGGAGGUGGCUAAGUCCAUGGGUUCCAGUUUAGGUCUGGCUCUCUCUACCUCCAUGUACUGCAAUAAGCAGGUCAUCAUCAUCGACAAGGUCAAACCAGCCAGCAUCGCCGAUAGGUGUGGUGCACUGCAUGCAGGUGAUCACAUCCUCUCGGUGGAUGGCACAAGUAUGGAGUAUUGCACACUGGCUGAGGCCACCCAGCUGCUAGCUAGCGCUUCUGAACACGUCAAAAUGGAGAUUCUGCCUCACCACCAGACAAGACUGGCCCUCAAGGGCCCUGAACAUGCUCUGGGUUCAUCCUUCUCUCCCACCUCCAUGAGUGCCUACAGUCUGAGUUCACUCAACAUGAACACGCUGCCACGCACCAUGUAUCCCACAAGUCCCCGUGGCACCAUGAUGAGACGCAAACUGAAGAAGAAAGACUACAAGAGCUCAAUGUCCCUGGCUUCCAGUACGGUAGGACUUGCUGGUCAGGUGGUCCACACAGAAACAACAGAGGUGACCCUCAUCAGUGACUCCAUCAUGGGCUUUGGGAUCCAGCUUCAGGGAGGAGUCUUUGCCACGGAAACCCUGUCCUCUCCGCCGCUCAUCGCUUACAUAGACCCCGACAGCCCGGCGGAGCGGUGCGGCAUCCUGCAGAUUGGCGACCGCAUCCUGUCAAUAAAUGGCAUCCCCACUGAGGACAGCACGCUGGAGGAGACCAAUCAGCUGCUGAGGGACUCCAGCAUCACCAGCAAAGUCACACUAGAGAUUGAGUUUGACGUAGCAGAAUCGGUUAUCCCAAGCAGUGGAACCUUCCAUGUGAAGCUACCAAAGAAGCCAGGUGUGGAGCUGGGCAUCACCAUCAGCUCCCCUUCUAGUAGGAAGCCUGGAGAUGCACUCAUCAUCUCUGACAUAAAGAAAGGCAGCGUGGCGCACAGGACGGGCACCCUGGAGCUGGGGGAUAAGCUUCUGGCAAUAGACAACAUCCGUCUGGAUAACUGCUCCAUGGAGGACGCCGUUCAAAUCCUGCAGCAGUGCGAAGACCUGGUUAAACUCAAGAUCCGCAAGGACGAGGACAACUCAGGUACCUCUGAGCCUCUGCAACUACAAACCCCACGCGGACACAAAUUAACACUAAAAGCCCCCAUCAACAGUCUGAAGGGCAAACCUCUCAGUGAGGCCAUCCACCUGCUGCAGAUGGCAGGGGAGUCCGUCACACUGAAGAUCAAGAAGCAGGGAGAAUGUGAGUUGGCAAGCCCAAAGCAGCCCUCAGUAACGGGCCGUUUAAACGAUCUGAGCGAUAUGGAGGAUGACGGUCAGGCUGGGCAGAAACUCGGUAAACUCUCAGACAUCUAUUCCACCACUAUUCCCAGUGUGGACAGCGCAGUGGAAUCCUGGGAUGGCUCCGCCAUUGACGCCACAUUCAGCACCCAAGGUUUCCAGGCAUCGGGCUACAGUUUCCACAGCCAUGAGUGGAGGAAUGCCAAGCCCGGCCGGGGCAGCCUCUCCCCAGUGAACAGCAGUCGGCAGAGGAACAACAUCCUGCCGGACUUUGGACUCGGUGUGGAUGAAUGGGACAGGCCAAGCGCUAGCGGGUACAUUAAUAUACUACUUGUAAAUUAUACACAACAGUUUAAAUACACAUUCCAGCAUAUAAUGAAUCUUAUUUUUAUAGGAUUAGCCACCAUCAUGUCGGGCAGCUCUUUGAGUUUAAACCACGAUCCUGCACCCACCCGAAGCCAUCUGGGCCGCCAGGCCAGCUUUCAGGAACGUGGCAGCAACAAACCACAAUACACACAGGCCAACCGCAGCAACACGCUGCCCACCGAUGUCGGCAGAAAAGCUUUCUCCAUGAGGAGAAUGAAGCAGGAGAUCAAAGACAUCAUGUCGCCCACCCCGGUUGAACUUCACAAGGUGAGCCUUUUGAAGGACUCGGACCUUGAGGACUUUGGGUUUAGCGUGUCUGACGGAGUCUUGGAGAAGGGGGUUUAUGUAAACAAUAUCCGUCCAGGCGGCCCUGCUGAAAUCGGAGGACUCAAGCCAUACGAUAGACUGCUACAGAUAAACCACGUCCGGACUAGAGACUUUGACUGCUGCUUAGUGGUUCCUCUUAUAGCAGAGUCCGGGAACAAACUGGAUCUAGUCAUAAGCCGAAACCCGGUUUCCUCGCAGCCCUCAGAACUAAACCCGUUGUCCAAUGACGAGACAGCAAACUGGACUGACCCCGGGGACCCUGUCGUGCAGCCCACCGCAGGGCUGGAGCAGGGCCAGCACAACUCCACGCUAGCGGGACUAGAGGACAGAGACCCCAACAAGACUUUAUAGCAGAACUCCUCCCAGGUGCCUGCAGUGGAGCGCUCCUCCACAUGGUGCUAAAGAGAACCCUCCCCUCCCUAAAACGGCUCCCUCUAGUGGAGGACAACGAGAGGGGCUUGUUGUCCUAUAGCACACACCCAGUCCCUUUCCUAAGUCAGAGCAUGAACAACCAUGACUAAGAGGUCCUUUCCUGACAAGCUGGGUGUGUUUUUACCCUGUGAAAAUGGCGGCGAAGACCACACUGACCUCUUGGAAAACCAAAUUGUGGGGGGGAAAAAAAACCUGAAACAGUGCCAUCCCUGAUUUUUAUUGCCAAUAAAUGAGAAUAGUUUUAAGGAGGAGUCA